rnacentral:rRNA from 1 species
GACGAACGCUGGCGGCGUGCCUAAUACAUGCAAGUUGAGCGAUGAAGAUUGGUGCUUGCCCCAAUUUGAAGAGCAGCGAACGGGUGAGUAACGCGUGUGGAAUCUGCCUUUGAUCGGGGGACAACAUUUGGAAACGAAUGCUAAUACCGCAUAACAACUUUAAACAUAAGUUUUAAGUUUGAAAGAUGCAAUUGCAUCACUCAAAGAUGAUCCCGCGUUGUAUUAGCUAGUUGGUUAGGUAAAGGCUCACCAAGGCGAUGAUACAUAGCCGACCUGAGAGGGUGAUCGGCCAAAAUGGGAAUGGAAAACGGCCCAAACUCCUACGGGAGGCAGCAGUAGGGAAACUUCGGAAAAGGAGGAAAGGCUGAACGAGCAACGCCGCGGGAGUGAAGAAGGUUUUCGGAUCGUAAAACUCUGUUGGUAGAGAAGAACGAUGGUGAGAGUGGAAAGCUCAUCAAGUGACGGUAACUACCCAGAAAGGGACGGCUAACUACGUG